rnacentral:rRNA from 1 species
AGAGUUUGAUCCUGGCUCAGAAUCAACGCUGGCGGCGUGCCUAACACAUGCAAGUCGAACGAGAAAGUGGAGCAAUCCAUGAGUAAAGUGGCGACCGGGUGAGUAACACGUGACUAACCUACCUUCGAGUGGGGGAUAACUCCGGGAAACCGGGGCUAAUACCGCAUAACAUCCUCGGAUCGGAAGAACUGGGGAUCAAAGGAGCAAUUCGCUUGAAGAGGGAGUCGCGGCUGAUUAGCUUGUUGGCGGGGUAAUGGCCCACCAAGGCGAUGAUCGGUAUCCGGCCUGAGAGGGCGCACGGACACACUGGAACUGAAACACGGUCCAGACUCCUACGGGAGGCAGCAGUGGGGAAUUUUGCGCAAUGGGGGAAACCCUGACGCAGCAACGCCGCGUGGAGGAUGAAGUCCCUUGGGACG